AUUUAGCUCUAUCAUCUCUUUAACUAUACAGAAAAUUUUAACGGAAUCUUAAUCAACACAUCAUGGGCUUCAAAAGGGUGUCUCAGAUUGUCUCUAUGGUGUUCCAUUCUCUCUUAAAUCUCUAAUUAGAGUAAACAUCCUAACCACAUAAAAGAAGAUAAUGUUCAAUUAGGUGUAAAAUUUGUUCUAUACAUUCUAUCUGAAAUCUGAGACACCCUUUUGUAGAUAAUGGCCAUAGGAACAACAUAUGAUAAAAUCAACCCUCUAGGGAUACCUAUGCAGAAGCUAAUUUCAUUUGAAAGAGGAAAUUUGGUGAAAAAUAUGUUAGACACA
rnacentral:lncRNA from 1 species